UGGUGAAUUUCAGAGUGGCGUCAUAAACCCGCGCUUUGUUUGGAACGUCAGCUCGUUGGCGGGAUUUAGGCUCCGGGAAAAGACAGGCAACGAUUGUUGUGAGAUAUUUGCAAUGCAGUUUUUAGGCAGAAGAAAGAAGCUGAUCGGCAACUUUCAGAAUGAUCUGUAUGAUCAAUGUCUUCAGUUUUAUGGACAGCCUCCUCUGGAGAACAUCUCUCUCUCUGAGUUUGAAAGCUUCGCAGUGGAGAGAUUGAAAUUACUCAAGACUGUCGAAAACGUUGGGGUGAGCUGUGUGAAAAAUUCAGAACGAUACACCAAGAAAUUGGACGCUGAAAUUUCAAGUCUGAACUUCCCACACAGGGCAGAACUGGGUGACCAAAAGGUUCAGGGAGGAAUAUCUGAAUAUGAGAAACGAAGAAAAGACCACAUCUCCCAUUUUAUUCUGCGCUUGGCUUAUUG